rnacentral:pre_miRNA from 2 species
GAAAUACUCCCUCCGUCUCAAAAUUUUUGUUAUAGAUUUGUCUAGAUAUGAAUGUAUAUAAUCACAUUUUAAUAUUUUAAUUAAUUUAUUUCUAGACAAAUCUAAGAUAAAUUUUUUGAGACGGAAGAAGUAGAAA